rnacentral:rRNA from 1 species
UGGCAGCAGUGGGGAAUUUUGGACAAUGGGGGCAACCCUGAUCCAGCCAUUCCGCGUGAGUGAAGAAGGCCUUCGGGUUGUAAAGCUCUUUCAGCUGGAAAGAAACGGUGAGCUCUAACAUAGCUUGCUAAUGACGGUACCGGCAGAAGAAGCACCGGCUAACUACGUGCCAGCAGCCGCGGUAAUACGUAGGGUGCGAGCGUUAAUCGGAAUUACUGGGCGUAAAGCGUGCGCAGGCGGAUUGUUAAGCAAGAUGUGAAAUCCCCGGGCUUAACCUGGGAAUGGCAUUUUGAACUGGCAGUCUAGAGUGUGUCAGAGGGGGGUGGAAUUCCACGUGUAGCAGUGAAAUGCGUAGAUAUGUGGAGGAACACCAAUGGCGAAGGCAGCCCCCUGGGAUAACACUGACGCUCAUGUACGAAAGCGUGGGUAGCAAACAGGAUUAGAUACCCGGGUAGUC